AAAGAAAAUAGUUCAGCACUAAGUCACUUUGUCUUUAUGGCAAAUGUGAGAUGCAGUGUAUGGAACAUCAAUAUUCUAGUAUGAGAAAUUAAUGAUUUAAGUCCUUCUUAAAUGAGGCCAUUUACCCAUAGAGGGUGCCAGGCCCGUAUAACAUUAAUGAUUACUAGAUGGUGUUUCCAAAGAGUCGUGUUGCUUGAUAGUGCAGCACUAAGUGGGUGGUAAACUCCAUCUAAAACUAAAUAUAACCAUGAGACCGAUAGUAAACAAGUACCGUGAGGGAAAGUUGAAAAGAACUCUGAAUAGAGAGUUAAAUAGUACGUGAAACUGCUUAGAGGUUAAGCCCGAUGAACCUGAAUAUCCGUUGUGGAAAAUUCAUCAUUAGAAUUGUAAUAUUUAAAUAAUAUUAUAAUAAUAGUGUGCAUUUUUUCCAUAUAAGGACAUUGUAAUCUAUUAAUAUAAAGCAAAUUUAUCAUAAAACGUGGCUUAUAGUUUAUUCAAAUUAUUUUGCUUGCAAUUUAACAUAGAAUAAAUGUCAUUUAUUUGAUAAAGUGUUGAUAGAUUUAUAUGAAUACAGUGCGUUAAUUUUUUAAAUUAUAUAAUAGCAUGAUAAUCAUUGAUUUCUGUGUUUAUUAUAUGCACUUGUAUGAUUAA
rnacentral:rRNA from 1 species